rnacentral:rRNA from 1 species
CCCUUAGACGUUCUGGGCCGCACGCGCGCUACACUGACCAGUGCAACAAGCAUCCGUCCUUGGCCGACAGGCCCGGGCAAUCUUUGAACGCUGGUCGUGAUGGGGAUAGACUUUUGCAAUUUUUGGUCUUCAACGAGGAAUUCCUAGUAAACGCAAGUCAUCAGCUUGCAUUGAUUACGUCCCUGCCCUUUGUACACACCGCCCGUCGCACCUACCGAUUGAAUGGUCCGGUGAAGCCUCCGGAUUGGCGCGCACCUCGGUGCCGCCGAGAAGUUGGCUAAACCUUACCAUUUAGAGGAAGGUGAAGUCGUAACA